rfam:Xenopus tropicalis strain Nigerian Chr03_contig_3078, whole genome shotgun sequence.
GCCUCAUUAGCGCAGUAGGUAGCGUGUCAGUCUCAUAAUCUCAAUGUCAUGAGUUUGAUCCUCACACGGGGCA